UCUUUGGUGACGUCUUGUCGGAACGGGCGAGAUCAUCGGGUUCGCUGCCCUGUGCCCACAAAGUCAACCGCUUCGCCCACGCAUCUAGCUCCUUGGGCGGGUAGGCGGUCUUGACCGUAUCCUUGCCGGUCUGGAGACGGACGUAAACGAAAUCGGAGGUUAUGUCGGCGAUCGCCGGAUACUUCCCAUGGUCGGCGUAAACCACCGCGAUAUUGUGCUUCCGCAGCAGCGCGAU
rnacentral:misc_RNA from 1 species